GGCCUCGGAUCAGGUAGGGA
rnacentral:rRNA from 1 species